ACGAACGCUGGCGGCGUGCCUAAUACAUGCAAGUAGCACGCUGAAGGAGGAGCUUGCUUCUCUGGAUGAGUUGCGAACGGGUGAGUAACGCGUAGGUAACCUGCCUGGUAGCGGGGGAUAACUAUUGGAAACGAUAGCUAAUACCGCAUAAGAGUAGAUGUUGCAUGACAUUUGCUUAAAAGGUGCAAUUGCAUCACUACCAGAUGGACCUGCGUUGUAUUAGCUAGUUGGUGGGGUAACGGCUCACCAAGGCGACGAUACAUAGCCGACCUGAGAGGGUGAUCGGCCACACUGGGACUGAGACACGGCCCAGACUCCUACGGGAGGCAGCAGUAGGGAAUCUUCGGCAAUGGACGGAAGUCUGACCGAGCAACGCCGCGUGAGUGAAGAAGGUUUUCGGAUCGUAAAGCUCUGUUGUAAGAGAAGAACGAGUGUGAGAGUGGAAAGUUCACACUGUGACGGUAUCUUACCAGAAAGGGACGGCUAACUACGUG
rnacentral:rRNA from 1 species